UCCAGACUCCUACGGGAGGCAGCAGUGGGGAAUAUUGCACAAUGGGGGAAACCCUGAUGCAGCAACGCCGCGUGAGUGAAGAAGUAUUUCGGUAUGUAAAGCUCUAUCAGCAGGGAAGAAGAAAGACGGUACCUGACUAAGAAGCCCCGGCUAACUACGUGCCAGCAGCCGCGGUAAUACGUAGGGGGCAAGCGUUAUCCGGAUUUACUGGGUGUAAAGGGAGCGUAGACGGCCUGCCAAGUCUGAUGUGAAAUACCGGGGCUCAACCCCGGGGCUGCAUUGGAAACUGGCAGGCUGGAGUGUCGGAGAGGCAGGCGGAAUUCCUAGUGUAGCGGUGAAAUGCGUAGAUAUUAGGAGGAACACCAGUGGCGAAGGCGGCUUACUGGACCGAAACUGACGUUGAGGCUCGAAAGCGUGGGGAGCAAACAGGAUUAGAUACCCCGGUAC
rnacentral:rRNA from 1 species